rnacentral:rRNA from 1 species
AGGACGAACGCUGGCGGCGUGCUUAACACAUGCAAGUCGAGCGGAAAGGCCCUUCGGGGUACUCGAGCGGCGAACGGGUGAGUAACACGUGAGUAACCUGCCCCAGACUUUGGGAUAACCCUCGGAAACGGGGGCUAAUACCGGAUAUUACAUUCUACCGCAUGGUGGUUUGUGGAAAGUUUUCGGUUUGGGAUGGACUCGCGGCCUAUCAGCUUGUUGGUGGGGUAAUGGCCUACCAAGGCGAGGACGGGUAGCC